rnacentral:rRNA from 1 species
GGGUUUACCCAUUGGUCAGGCUUAAUUGUCUGUACUGGUGAGAUAAAUCUCUACCUUCUGAGGAACUUUCAUGUCAUUAAUUUGGUGUGAUUGGAAAUCAGGACUGUUACUUUGAAAAAUUAGAGUGUUUAAAGCAGGCUAACGUCUGAAUACAUUAGCAUGGAAUAAUGAAAUAGGACGGAUUGAUUCUAUUUCGUUGGUUUCUAGGAUCACCGUAAUG